ACAGUUUGGCGGUGAUCUUGUUUAGUCGGCCAUCUGAAUAAAUUAUUAUACCCAAGCUGUCAACAUGCAGUGUCGGGUGUGGUUAAUUAACAACACCCGAGUUGUUGUUUAUUUAACAAAAUCAAAGCCGGUGUAUUUGAAGGUGUGAAUUUCGACAAACUUUAAGAUGUGCCGGGUAGCCGAGAUCGGAAAUGAAAAUCUACGAUAGGAGAAUUCAGAGGACAUAUUCUGAUGCCAGGAUUCAGUACUGGUAAUGCAACUACAAUCCCACAAAGUUCAUCUUAAAAGCUAGAAAAUUUAAGCAAUGUUGGUGGUCAGCCGGGUUCAAUCAUCGGUGGUGUACAUCAAAAUCAGACACUUCUACUCCAGGGGAAAGCCAUGGGACAGAUGCUUUUGGACUUUGAAAUACAAAAUGUGCCCAACUUGGUGGAAAAAAUUGAAGAGAAAUACAGAAGAUAGUGUAUGAUUGUGAAAUGAUGGGGAACAAACAUUAUAUUUACAUUUUUUUAAAAAUACAAAACAAUGUGGUGUGAUUGUGAAAUGAUGGUUACAUUUAAGAAAAAUACAAAAGAUUGUGUGUGGUGUAAUUGUGAUUUGUAUGCAAAUGAUGGGAUGGGGGGGGUGGGGGGUGAAAUGGCGUCAUCCAGUGAGGGCGCCCAAGAGUCGCCUGAGAGUGAUAUUCAUGAAAUACAGACAAUAGAGUCUCUCAAAAGAUCAAUCAAUGACUUGAAAUCAGAAAAUACAACGCUUACAGAUACAACCAAUAAAAUACAAUCAGAUUUUGUUUCACACGCAACACGAUGCGAGCCUUCUCGCAAAAACACCAAUGCACACUUGAAGAAACUUGAUGGUCUUGAUUUCACUGAGUACCAAGUUGUGAGCAAGAAAAUGAAUGACGAACUAUCAAGAGUAUCUAAAGUAUG